AUGAAUUUCCUUAUCUCCCACAAAAAAAAGAGGUUAAUCACUAUCACAUACAAUACAAACCAGAUGAUUUGCAUUAGUUAUAGCGUAUGUAUGCUCAAAUUUUAUUUUAUUUUUGCGAGAAGAUACCGCACACUCAACAGAGUAUAUGACGUCAACCGUUCGAGAGUACGACGGUGCAACGGAUGCACGCAACACAAGUCAUCGUGCUGCUUAAACCGGCAACAAGAUCCACUGGUCCGAGUACAUGUUGUUCAACUGUUCGACUGGCUGCGGGCACUUGACGUCGGUCCAGCGAUGAAGUCGACCAUAUCCACCCGCCCGCGGGGCAGCAACGCAAAGGGCGGAGACGGCCACGGCCGAAGGAGCGAGCAAUGA
rnacentral:rRNA from 1 species